rnacentral:rRNA from 1 species
UACGUAGGGGGCAAGCGUUGUCCGGAUUUAUUGGGCGUAAAGAGCGUGUAGGCGGUUUGGUAGGUCCGUUGUGAAAACUCGAGGCUCAACCUCGAGACGCCGAUGGAAACCAUCAGACUAGAGUCCGGAAGAGGAGAGUGGAAUUCCUGGUGUAGCGGUGAAAUGCGCAGAUAUCAGGAAGAACACCCGUGGCUAAGGCGGCUCUCUAGUACGGUACUGACGCUGAGGCGCGAAAGCGUGGGGAGCGAACAGG